UUAUAUGUUUGUGACACUCUCGCUCAUUCAAUUUUGAAACCCUAAGCAGUUUUCUCUCCUUUGAUUCCCACCGUUUCAUCUCCCAUGGUAGCAUCUCCUCCAUCUAAAGCUGCAACUCCAGCUCCGAUGGCUACACCUCCAAUAACCACUCCUCCUGCGGCUACACCACCGAAAGGUCAUGGAGUUCCUCCUCCGCAGUUCUGUCCUCGAUUCUGUCAUCAAGAAAACCCUAACCGCCCUCCCUCUCUCCCCCGUCGAACCCCGCCUCAAGAAAACCACCCUCCUCCUCCGCACCCUUCAAACCCUCAUCCAUACAACCACAGUAUCGGCAAGAAGCGUGGGAUCUCUGGUUUCUGAAAUUCCUAUGCUGUGAGCGUUUGAGAGAUUUGUUUUUUUUUUUUGUCUGUUUCUCUUUGUUCUGGAUGAGGAGCAUGCUGAAUUUUGUGGAGGAGAAGUUUUUGUGCUAGCGAGGGUGUGUUGAAAUUCAGAAGAUGUAACGGGAUAGAGCCUGACGAAAACUAGCAAGGAGGGAGGUUUUUGGUAUUUUCUGGACAAGCUGCAGGAUGCCUUCUGAAAUCAUGGAGAAGAGGGGUGCUUCUGCCUCAUCUCGCGUGUAUCCAUAUUUAUGUUUUUGGGAGCAAGAUUGACACCAAUGCUGCCUCACGUGACUGUUUUAUUAUUACUGCCAUAUGUUUUGCUUGUUUAAUUGCUUGCAUGCCUGUUUUUAUGCUUUGCUUAUAGAUCUAUUGGGCGUGUAGACAAAAAGGAUUUAUUGCAAUUUUUGGAAAGCUUAAGGGCCUCACUUGUAUCUAAAGUUUAAGGUGACUUCUUCACAAGGAGGUAAAGUUCAGGCAGUGUCUAUUUAUUCCCCCCUUGAAAUUAUACUCCUCAAAAAAUA